GCCGAAACACGCAAAUGUCUCUCAUUUAGCAAAGUGCAUAAUUUUCGCGUUAAAAGUAAAGCAUUCUGUCCUGUCAGUCAGCAACUAGACGCCACUGCGCUAUUCCGUAGAGGGGAAGGAUACACUAGAUACAACCCUCGUCGACGCUCAUCAUUAAGAGGGAGUGAACGGUUGGAUAUUACUCCAAGGAAGAUCAUAUUGAGAAAUUACAUUGCCCUCGACAGGAUUCUAAAGGCUUCAAUCAGAUUAAUUAGAUUAACCAAACUUAUCAGAUUAACCAGAUUAACCAGAUUAACCAGACUUACCAGAUUAACUAGAUUCAUAGAUCAUCUAGGUCCGAUUAAUUAAUCAUAAUCAUUUCAAUUGAAUCUAAGUGAAAGAUAUAACUGAUGUAAUUAUAA